rnacentral:rRNA from 1 species
CCUACGGGUGGCAGCAGUGGGGGAUAUUGCACAAUGGGAGGAACCCUGAUGCAGCGACGCCGCGUGGGCGAUGGAGUGCUUCGGCAUGUAAAGCCCUAUCAGCAGGGAAGAAAAUGACGGUACCUGACUAAGAAGCCCCGGCUAAAUACGUGCCAGCAGCCGCGGUAAUACGUAUGGGGCAAGCGUUAUCCGGAUUUACUGGGUGUAACGGGUGCGCAGGCGGUCUGUUAAGUCAGCGGUCAAAGCCCGGGGCUCAACCCCGGCCCGCCGUUGAAACUGGCAGUCUCGAGUUGGAGAGAAGUAGGCGGAAUGCGCGGUGUAGCGGUGAAAUGCAUAGAUAUCGCGCAGAACUCCGAUUGCGAAGGCAGCAUGCCGGCUCCACACUGACGCUGAGGCACGAAAGCGUGGGUAUCGAACAGGAUUAGAUACCCGAGUAGUC